AGUCGAGCGAUGAAACUUUAACAGAACCCUUCGGGGCGAAGAUAAAGUGGAUUAGCGGCGGACGGGUGAGUAACACGUGAGUAACCUGCCUUAGACAUUGGGAUAGCCUCGGGAAACCGGGAUUAAUACCAAAUAAAAUCAUAAUGACACAUGUCAUAACGAUCAAAACUCCGGUGGUCUAAGAUGGACUCGCGUCCCAUUAGCUAGUUGGUAGAGUAAAAGCCUACCAAGGCGACGAUGGGUAGCCGGCCUGAGAGGGUGAACGGCCACAUUGGAACUGAGAAACGGUCCAAACUCCUACGGGAGGCAGCAGUGGGGAAUAUUGCACAAUGGAGGGAACUCUGAUGCAGCGACGCCGCGUGAACGAAGAAGGCUUUCGAGUCGUAAAGUUCUUUUAUAUGGGAAGAUAAUGACGGUACCAUAAGAAAAAGCCCCGGCUAACUACGUGCCAGCAGCCGCGGUAAUACGUAGGGGGCUAGCGUUGUCCGGAAUCACUGGGCGUAAAGGGUUCGCAGGCGGAAAUGCAAGUCAGAUGUAAAAGGCAGUAGCUUAACUACUGUAAGCAUUUGAAACUGCAUAUCUUGAGAAGAGUAGAGGUAAGUGGAAUUUUUAGUGUAGCGGUGAAAUGCGUAGAUAUUAAAAAGAAUACCGGUGGCGAAGGCGACUUACUGGGCUCAUUCUGACGCUGAGGAACGAAAGCGUGGGUAGCAAACAGGAUUAG
rnacentral:rRNA from 2 species